rnacentral:sRNA from 1 species
GGGAAGCGGUGAAAUUCUGUGUUUCAGAGCUAUGCUGGAAACAGCAUAGCAAGUUGAAAUAAGGCUAGUCCGUUAUCAACUUGAAAAAGUGGCACCGAGUCGGUGCUUUUUUU